UACGUAGGGGGCAAGCGUUGUCCGGAUUUAUUGGGCGUAAAGAGCGUGUAGGCGGCCGCACAGGUCCGUUGUGAAAACUGGAGGCUUAACCUUCAGACGUCGAUGGAAACCGUGCGGCUAGAGUCCGGAAGAGGAGAAUGGAAGUUCCUGGUGGAUAGCGGUGGAAAUGACGCAGAUAUCGGAAGGAACAUCAGUGGCGAAAGCGGCUUCCUGGACCAGAACUGACGAUCAGGCUCGAAAGCGUGGGGAGCAAACAGG
rnacentral:rRNA from 1 species